GGGGGGGGCGGGGGGGGGGGGUGAGGCGGGGGGGUGGGGGGGGGAGAGGGGGCGCGGGCGCCGCGGACGGGAGCGGCGGACGGGGGGGUAACACGGGGCGAACCUACCUCUCCGACUGGGAUCACUUCGGGAAACCGGUGCUACUACCGGCUAAUAUAGUGACCCCCCCGGUUACAGAGAGCAGCACCGUUUUUCUGUCACCUAUGGAGGUACGCGCCCCUCCUUACCUAGUUGGUAAGGCAACGGCGUCCCAUGGCAACGAUGCGUCGCUGACCUGCGAGGGUGAGCGGCCACACUGGAACUGAGACACGGUCCAGACUCCUACGGGAGGCAGCAGUAGUGAAUCUUCCGCAAUGGGCGAAAGACUGACGGAGCAAAGCCGCGUGAGUGAUGAAGGUAUUCGGAUCGUAAAAAUCUGUUAGUAGGGAAGAACAAAUGUGUAAGUAACUAUGCACGUCUUGAGGGUGCCUAAUCAGAAAGCCACGGCUAACUACGUG
rnacentral:rRNA from 1 species